rnacentral:lncRNA from 10 species
AAAACCAUUGGAAGGUUUUAAGCAGGGGAGUACACAAUCUGAUUUCCUUUGGACAAAGUUCACUGUGGCUGUGGGAAAGAGAUUAGAGUGGACGACAGGAAACCAGUAGGAGGCUAUCGCAGUCAUCCAGCUGAGGAAAGAUGACUUGACACGACUUCAGAAGCCUCCUGAAUCCUAUUCUGGCCCAUCGUGGCAUGGUCAGCAGAUGAGAAACAGAUGGACUGGUGUGUGGUGGGAGGAAGCUGUCCUGGUCGAGCUCUGCUUCAGGCCAGUCCUUUCUGAGAUUGGAGAAGUGAGAAGAGGAGCAGAGAGACCAGCUGGGAGCUGCUGUAGUAACCCAGAUUUUAUGAAAGCUGUAGGUGUGUGAGUUAACGAGGAAUGCUUCAGCACUUCCCUGGUCAUGCAUAAACAUCUACAUGCAAAACAGCAAGGAGUGCUCUGUUUAUCACAGCUGCAGUCAAGCCAACAAAACUGUUUCUACCACUGAGGAUGAAAUUUGUAAAAUUUUCUCUCAAAAAAUAAAAUAAGCCUCUUGUUUGAUUGCCAUUUCUUUGAAUUUCCUGCUCAAAUGCCAUGAUUCUAUUAAGUUUCCUUUGAAGUCUCUCAAAGGAAUGGAGUCACUAAGAGAGAGUCAGGCUCAAGGUUUUAAUUGUGAAAGUCACUUUGACCAACCAACCAACCAAACAAAAACACCAGAUUUAAAGCAGCAUCAGAAGUCCCUCCUGUUUAUAACAUGCACCUUUGUUAACAUAAGACAAAUAAGAAUGCUAAGUAUAAUGGAAAUCAAAGGA